GACACGGCCCAGAUUCCUACGGGAGGCAGCAGUGGGGAAUUUUGGACAAUGGGCGCAAGCCUGAUCCAGCCAUGCCGCGUGUCUGAAGAAGGCCUUCGGGUUGUAAAGGACUUUUGUCAGGGAAGAAAAGGUUGUGGCUAAUAUCCAUGACUGAUGACGGUACCUGAAGAAUAAGCACCGGCUAACUACGUGCCAGCAGCCGCGGUAAUACGUAGGGUGCGAGCGUUAAUCGGAAUUACUGGGCGUAAAGCGAGCGCAGACGGUUACUUAAGCAGGAUGUGAAAUCCCCGGGCUCAACCUGGGAACUGCGUUCUGAACUGGGUGACUAGAGUAUGUCAGAGGGGGGUAGAAUUCCACGUGUAGCAGUGAAAUGCGUAGAGAUGUGGAGGAAUACCGAUGGCGAAGGCAGCCCCCUGGGAUAAUACUGACGUUCAUGCUCGAAAGCGUGGGUAGCAAACAGGAUUAGAUACCCUGGUAGUCCACGCCCUAAACGAUGUCAAUUAGCUGUUGGGCAACUUGAUUGCUUAGUAGCGUAGCUAACGCGUGAAAUUGACCGCCUGGGGAGUACGGUCGCAAGAUUAAAACUCAAAGGAAUUGACGGGGACCCGCACAAGCGGUGGAUGAUGUGGAUUAAUUCGAUGCAACGCGAAGAACCUUACCUGGUCUUGACAUGUACGGAAUCCUCCGGAGACGGAGGAGUGCCUUCGGGAGCCGUAACACAGGUGCUGCAUGGCUGUCGUCAGCUCGUGUCGUGAGAUGUUGGGUUAAGUCCCGCAACGAGCGCAACCCUUGUCAUUAGUUGCCAUCAUUAAGUUGGGCACUCUAAUGAGACUGCCGGUGACAAACCGGAGGAAGGUGGGGAUGACGUCAAGUCCUCAUGGCCCUUAUGACCAGGGCUUCACACGUCAUACAAUGGUCGGUACAGAGGGUAGCCAAGCCGCGAGGUGGAGCCAAUCUCACAAAACCGAUCGUAGUCCGGAUUGCACUCUGCAACUCGAGUGCAUGAAGUCGGAAUCGCUAGUAAUCGCAGGUCAGCAUACUGCGGUGAAUACGUUCCCGGGUCUUGUACACACCGCCCGUCACACCAUGGGAGUGGGGGAUACCAGAAGUAGGUAGGGUAACCGCAAGGAGCCCGCUUACCACGG
rnacentral:rRNA from 1 species